GUGGGCAUACUGGUUAUACUGUGAUAGCUCUGGGAGAGGGAGCUGGGAGCCACAACUAGAAGAAGAAGAAAGAAGAUCCAGCGUGAGUCCUACGUGGUUCUGCGUCAGGGGCGCACGCUAUUGCGAGAAAGGAAGAAGAAGAGAGAGAAGCAUCAGUUUUCUGCGUAUCCGUGUUUCCACGUAAUCUGUUCUCCUCGCCGAGUUGCAGGAGGGCUACGACCACGCGGGAAGAAUCGCCAUUAGCGUUGGUUAAGUGAAGAGCUGACCGGGCCUUAUCGCAGCGUUUCGCCGCGGUCGACAUCGAUAGGCUCGAAGAUCGGAUGCGAGGAAGGCGUACGCAUUCUGUGUACGUACCUCGACGAGAUUUCAGCUUGCGUAUAUUCUAGAGAAUUGGAUUCUAAAAAUGGAGGAUGCAAACAUCCUAGUCACCUGUCCGCUCAAUCCUGCGCAUCGCAUUCGCAAAUAUAAACUUAUGGGUCAUUUGGUAAAA